rnacentral:tRNA from 1 species
GGACCCCUAGCUCAGUGGUAGAGCGUGAGAUUCCAGCACUGUGAUUCCUCAAGGUCAUCCGUUCAAUCCGGGUGGGGUUCA